rnacentral:sRNA from 1 species
GAUCCCCUCCUCCGAUUCGUCUCUAGGGUUCUCUGAUUCUCGCCGUCGCCGGCGUCCUCUCUUCCCGCUCAGCUGCUUGUUCGCGCCUCUCGUUUCUCUUUCGAGCAACUUCCUGUUUCUUUCUCUCUUGGGAUUUGGGAUCUUGGUUUUGGGGGAUUUUCGAUGGGUUGAAGCAGGUGAUGAAAGCAAGACAGGGACAUCAGCACCCUCUUCUCUUUUGAGAGAGAUGGGAAUGAUCGACUAAGUCUAUAAUGGGAAUCUCUCUGAUGCUUUUUUACCUUCCCCCCAACUCAGAUCUGCUUUGUUUUUUUUUUCGUUAUUUCUCUUCUCCUUUUGGUUUUGAUUGGUGUUCUGUGGUACUUAGCUUAAUUAAUACGUGAAUUUGCGGUUCGUGUUGCUGCCAGUGAUGCAUAAACAAAUGCACGUAUUAUCGGAUUCUUCCGUGACGAUCUCACACAAAUAUUGUCACUACCACUGAGGCAGCUCAGCUCAGCCUUUCUUUUUUUUUUCAGAAGCAUCUACUGUUGUGCUUUUGAUUUGCCAGGUUUUUUUAUUUCGUUUGUUUGUUUUUUGUUUGUAGUUUUUUUGUAUCUGCAGUUCGUUUGGUGCAAAUUGCCUAUGAUGGUGUUAAAUAUACUUUGAGCAGCUCGCUGUGAAAAAUACUUACAAUCUGAGGCCAUUUUCAUCUCGAAUGCAUUGUUA